rnacentral:rRNA from 1 species
UACAGAGGGUGCAAGCGUUACUCGGAAUUACUGGGCGUAAAGCGUGCGUAGGUGGUUUUUUAAGUCAGGUGUGAAAUCCCUGGGCUCAACCUGGGAACUGCAUUUGAUACUGGAAAGCUAGAGUGUGGUAGAGGAUGGUGGAAUUCCCGGUGUAGCGGUGAAAUGCGUAGAUAUCGGGAGGAACAUCAGUGGCGAAGGCGGCCAUCUGGACCAACACUGACACUGAGGCACAAAAGCGUGGGGAGCAAACAGG